UUUGAAAUCUGGCCUCCGGGUCCGAGUUGUAAUUUGCAGAGGAUGCUUUUGGCGAGGUGCCUUCCGAGUUCCCUGGAACGGGACGCCAUAGAGGGUGAGAGCCCCGUCUGGUCGGACACCGAGCCUCUGUAAAGCUCCUUCGACGAGUCGAGUAGUUUGGGAAUGCUGCUCAAAAUGGGAGGUAUAUGUCUUCUAAAGCUAAAUAUUGGCCAGAGACCGAUAGCGCACAAGUAGAGUGAUCGAAAGAUGAAAAGCACUUUGAAAAGAGGGUUAAAAAGUACGUGAAAUUGUUGAAAGGGAAGCGCCUAUGACCAGACUUGGGCCCGGUGAAUCACCCAGCGUUCUCGCUGGUGCACUUUGCCGGGCACAGGCCAGCAUCAGUUUGGCGCGGGGGACAAAGGUUUCGGGAAUGUGGCUCCCUCGGGAGUGUUAUAGCCCGUUGCGUAAUACCCUGCGCCGGACUGAGGUACGCGCAUUGCAAGGAUGCUGGCGUAAUGGUCAUCAGCGACCCGUCUUGAAACACGGACCAAGGAGUCGUCUUCGUAUGCGAGUGUUCGGGUGUCAAACCCCUACGCGUAAUGAAAGUGAACGUAGGUGAGAGCUUCGGCGCAUCACCGACCGAUCCUGAUGUUCUCGGAUGGAUUUGAGUAAGAGCAUACGGGGCCGGACCCGAAAGAAGGUGAACUAUGCCUGUAUAGGGUGAAGCCAGAGGAAACUCUGGUGGAGGCUCGCAGCGGUUCUGACGUGCGAAUCGAUCGUCAAAUAUGGGCAUGGGGGCGAAAGACUAAUCGAACCUUCUAGUAGCUGGUUUC
rnacentral:rRNA from 1 species